AGAGUUUGAUCCUGGCUCAGGAUGAACGCCGGUGGUGUGCCUAAUACAUGCAAGUCGUACGCACUGGCCCAACUGAUUGAUGGUGCUUGCACCUGAUUGACGUUGGAUCACCAGUGAGUGGCGGACGGGUGAGUAACACGUAGGUAACCUGCCCCGGAGCGGGGGAUAACAUUUGGAAACAGAUGCUAAUACCGCAUAACAACAAAAGCCACAUGGCUUUUGUUUGAAAGAUGGCUUUGGCUAUCACUCUGGGAUGGACCUGCGGUGCAUUAGCUAGUUGGUAAGGUAACGGCUUACCAAGGCGAUGAUGCAUAGCCGAGUUGAGAGACUGAUCGGCCACAAUGGAACUGAGACACGGUCCAUACUCCUACGGGAGGCAGCAGUAGGGAAUCUUCCACAAUGGGCGCAAGCCUGAUGGAGCAACACCGCGUGAGUGAAGAAGGGUUUCGGCUCGUAAAGCUCUGUUGUUGGAGAAGAACGUGCGUGAGAGUAACUGUUCACGCAGUGACGGUAUCCAACCAGAAAGUCACGGCUAACUACGUGCCAGCAGCCGCGGUAAUACGUAGGUGGCAAGCGUUAUCCGGAUUUAUUGGGCGUAAAGCGAGCGCAGGCGGUUGCUUAGGUCUGAUGUGAAAGCCUUCGGCUUAACCGAAGAAGUGCAUCGGAAACCGGGCGACUUGAGUGCAGAAGAGGACAGUGGAACUCCAUGUGUAGCGGUGGAAUGCGUAGAUAUAUGGAAGAACACCAGUGGCGAAGGCGGCUGUCUGGUCUGCAACUGACGCUGAGGCUCGAAAGCAUGGGUAGCGAACAGGAUUAGAUACCCUGGUAGUCCAUGCCGUAAACGACGAGUAAGAGGUGCUGGAGGGUUUCAGCCCUUCAGUCCCGGAGCUAACGCAUUAAGCACUCCGCCUGGGGAGUGCGACCGCCAAGGUAGAAGCUCAAAGGAAUUGACGGGGGCCCGCACAAGCGGUGGAGCAUGUGGUUUAAUUCGAAGCUACGCGAAGAACCUUACCAGGUCUUGACAUCUUGCGCUAACCUUAGAGAUAAGGCGUUCCCUUCGGGGAAAACAAUGACAGGUGGUGCAUGGUCGUCGUCAGCUCGUGUCGUGAGAUGUUGGGUUAAGUCCCGCAACGAGCGCAACCCUUGUUACUAGUUGCCAGCAUUAAGUUGGGCACUCUAGUGAGACUGCCGGUGACAAACCGGAGGAAGGUGGGGACGACGUCAGAUCAUCAUGCCCCUUAUGACCUGGGCUACACACGUGCUACAAUGGACGGUACAACGAGUCGCAAGCUCGCGAGAGUAAGCUAAUCUCUUAAAGCCGUUCUCAGUUCGGACUGUAGGC
rnacentral:rRNA from 1 species